UUUGAAGUUCUUACUUUACUGAACGAUUUUGCUUCUUACAAUUAUAUCUAUAAUGAACUUUGCCCAUUAGUAACAGAGAACUAUAUUUGGUAAAAAUUUACAUAAAUUUACCAAAUUAAUGAAAAUUGUUAAAAAUUGACUAUAAAGGACAAUAACUCCUUAAGGGGUCAAUUGACCAUUUAGGUCAUGUUGACUUAUUUGUAGAUCUUACUUUGCUGAACAUUAUUGCUGUUUACAGUUUAUCGCUAUCUAUAAUAGUAUUCAAGAUAAC
rnacentral:lncRNA from 1 species